UACGUAGGGGGCAAGCGUUGUCCGGAAUCAUUGGGCGUAAAGAGCGUGUAGGCGGCCCGGUAAGUCUGUUGUGAAAGUCCAGGGCUCAACCCUGGAAUGCCGAUGGAUACUGCCGGGCUAGAGUUCGGAAGAGGCGAGUGGAAUUCCUGGUGUAGCGGUGGAAUGCGCAGAUAUCAGGAGGAACACCGGUGGCGAAGGCGGUCUGCUGGGCAGUUGCUGACGCUGAUGCGCGACAGCGUGGGGAGCAAACAGG
rnacentral:rRNA from 1 species